rnacentral:rRNA from 1 species
UACGUAGGUGGCGAGCGUUGUCCGGAUUUAUUGGGUUUAAAGGGUGCGUAGGCGGACUGUUAAGUCAGCGGUAAAAGCCCGGGGCCCAACCCCGGCGAGCCGUUGAAACUGGCUGUCUUGAGAUGUCGAGAGGUAUGCGGAAUGCGCAGUGUAGCGGUGAAAUGCUUAGAUAUUGCGCAGAACUCCGAUUGCGAAGGCAGCAUACCGGCGGCGAUCUGACGCUGAGGCACGAAAGCGCGGGUAUCGAACAGG